rnacentral:rRNA from 1 species
GACGAACGCUGGCGGCGUGCCUAAUACAUGCAAGUCGAGCGAAGCGGCGGAUGGGUGAGUAACGCGUGGGUAACCUGCCCUUAAGUCUGGGAUACCAUUUGGAAACAGAUGCUAAUACCGGCUACUAACGGAUGGACCUGCGAUGCAUUAGCUAGUUGGUAAGGUAACGGCUUACCAAGGCGAUGAUGCAUAGCCGGGUUGAGAGACUGAUCGGCCACAUUGUGACUGAGACACGGCCCAAACUCCUACGGUAGGCAGCAGUGGGGAAUAUUGCACAAUGGGCGCAAGCCUGAUGCAGCCAUGCCGCGUGAGUGAAGAAGGUUUUCGGAUCGUAAAGCUCUGUUGUUGGUGAAGCGGUAAUCAACCAGAAAGUCACGGCUAACUACGUGCCAGCAGCCGCGGUAAUUC